rnacentral:rRNA from 1 species
GACAGAGGAGCCAAGCGUUGUCCGGAUUGACUGGGCGUAAAGCGCACGCAGGCGGCUGGGAACGUGGGGUGUGAAACCUGGCGGCUUAACUGCCAGACGCCAUCCCAUACGGCCCGGCUCGAGGCAGGCAGAGGUUCGUGGAAUUGCCGGUGUAGUGGUGGAAUGCGUAGAGAUCGGCAGGAACACCAAGGGCGAAAGCAGCGAACUGGGCCUGUUCUGACGCUCAGGUGCGAAAGCGUGGGGAGCGAACCGG